CGGAGAUGACGUAAGAAGACCCGGUGCAUAGGUGGCUGCGGCGAGCGCCUGAGUGGAGAGGUACGGUCACAACAUGAGGGACCUUUAGAUGAGAGGAAAAACAUGCUCAAAAGAAGUGGAAAGAGACCACUGAAAACUCACCAGCAUCAGUGACUGAUAGCUGGAUGAAGCCCAGCAUGGGCAGCUAUCCUGCAAUGCUGUAGUCGGAGCUACAGGGACACCUCCACCAGAACCACCAAAGAACCAGGAAUCUGCUUUGAGACCUUUAACAACGACAACACAAAACAGCACAAGAGUGCAG